UACCAGCCCCCCGAGUGGUGAGGACGGUUAUUUGGCCUAAAGCGUCCGUAGCCGGUCUAACAAGUCUCUCGUUAAAUCUGACGACAUAAUCGCCAGGUCGCGGGAGAUACUGUUAGACUAGAGGGCGAGAGAGGUCGACGGUAGUCUCGGGGUAGGGGUGAAAUCCUAUAAUCCCGAGAGGACCACCAGUGGCAAAGGCGGUCGACUAGAGCGCGCCUGACGGUGAGGGACGAAAGCUGGGGGAGCGAACCGG
rnacentral:rRNA from 1 species